AAUAUGGCGUAGAAGCAUGGAUCAUGGAUGAAUGUAUAUUGUGUUGGGAGAAACUGCCAAAGAAGAACCGCAGAAAUAUCUACAGUGAUACUUUCAAUGUAAAAAAGCAGCUAUACGAAGUCCUCAGUUUUAUUCCAGAGCAGCAAUUAUCACCGCAAUACACUUGCUACCGAUGUUUUAACAAGCUUAACAGGUUGAGCAAAAUUGACUUUGAUUUAGAAAACAAGUUAUCGGCACUUAAGAGGGAAAAAGAUGAGAUCAUUAACCAACUCAGACCUCAGCGAAAUGUGUUGUUACCUGCUAGGCCUAGUGUCACUUCAGAAAAUUCAGAAAAUGUUGGGGGUGCGUGUAGUUCUACAUGCACUCCACGCAAGUCAAAUAAACGUCUUAUAAUAAGAACUCCGACACCUCGCAAAACUAAGAAAGUCCUAGUACAACACACUGCCCAACCAAAAGUUAGGAAAAGACUUUCAGAAGAUCAACUGACACCAAGCAAAGUCAAGGUGCAUUUUCGAGGUAGAAAUGAUUCUAAAGUAAGAACACGCUUUAUCAAAGACAGUCCCUGGGUGGCUGUAUUAAAAUCCCUGGUGAGAGGCUGUAAAGCAGAGACAAUCUCCAAAAAAAUUUUCAAAAUAGAGAUGCUGAAAAAAGAACUGGUUAAGUUGAUGCUGUCUGAUCUAAACAGCCAAUGCCAAAUUUUAUGCAAGACAUCAAAACCUUCAGUAUUGCGUGGUCAAGAUGAAAUUCACUUUAAGUUUGAGAGCGUCUGUAGUGAGCUGAAAGAGAGAGCACCAAUGUUGUACGAUGUACUCCAAACAGUUACCAGAAAGAGAAAUAUUUCCAGAUUAGCUGUAGCUGCAUCAGUUCUGCUUUGGAACAGAAACAUACAUAUGUCACAAGUACAUCAAAUCAUCGGACAAAUUCUAGACCAUGGAGGUGCAACAGAUGAGACUAUUCAAACUCUCGCUGAAAUGGGAUUAUCCAUCGGGCCACAGUCGGUGUCAAAGAAACGAGGAAAACUUGUCCUACAAAAUACAGAAAAGCUGAAUGACAAUUUCCAGAAGCAGAUUCGCCAAACUGUGUUGAACCAUUCAAUAUCGAUGAGCAAGAGAGCAGAGAGGUCAGUCAUGGAGUAUGAACCACCAUCAGCAGACAAAACAGAAUCAGGUACAACUGAUGUUCAUUUCUUUGAUAUGGUGAAUUCAUUUAAAACUCCACAGGCAAAUAAGUAUUUUACAUGUCCAUCUGACCAUUCUUGCCUGACAGUAUCAAGCAAUGAUUAUGUAACAAGAAAAGAAUUUUGUACUGAUGUACCCAAGUCAGAACCAGUACAUGUAUUAUGUAAUCCAACUACAGAGUUGAAAUCACUGACUUUAAACACCAAACUUGGUAGCAUAGAAUUUCCAAGUUUACCGUCAAGGCACCUGAAUCAUUUUCAGUUAAAUGAAUCAGUAGAUGUAGUUGCCAAUAGUGAAAGGAGCAGAGUGAUUUUGAAAGACUUUAUUACAAGAAAUGCUGAUCAGAUUUCACCCACUAUUCCAAGGUUUGAAAUCAUUGGAGACAAUUUAGACCACACCAUAUCACCAACAAAUAUGACAAAAGAUAAACAGAGAAAAAGUCUUCAUUGGUUUUUAAAUGUGGCAGUACAAAGGAGAGUGUUGGCAGAUGAUUUACCGUGUGAUAAGCCCAAAGCAGACAUUAUGAAGGUAGCUAACAGCAACUUCUUGCCUAGUAGGGAAGAUUGUGAAAGUUUUCAUAUCAAUAUGAUCCAUCAUAUUGCGCAAGUCAUUACCAAGUACAUUGACUGUCUGCAGCCAUAUUCACAAUGCAUUCCUAAGUACAUUGACCACCCUUAUGUAAAAGAACUAUCAGAAAAAUCAAAAUACAGCAUUGUUGACCUACUCGACAAGAGUGAGAAUAAAUCCGAUGACAUUAUUUCAAUUCUUGAACAUGUGCAUAGAAAAUAUGUUCCCCAUGCAGGUGAAGAUGUUGUGGAAAAAAUUGUAUUUGGUGGGGAUGUCCUAACCAAUGAACGUGCAUAUUCCAGCCAGCUGGCUAUGAUGAACAAUGAAAGUGAACUAAACCGCCUUGCAGGAGUUGUGCAUAGACCUGAGGGUCUCCAUCGAAUCAUGAAUUUACUCUUGGUAUCCUAAAAAAACAUGUUUCCUGUUCAAGAUGUUAUUGUUGAUGUUAGCAGUUUUUUUAAUUCUUUUGGAUGGCUUAUAUUAAACAUUUAUCAGCAAUUCUACAAGCCCUCAUCAGCUGCAGAUCAAGGGACUUUGUUUCAGUUGCGAAAUGUCCUGCAGAGACGAGACGUUAGUGGCCCAG